CCUACGGGUGGCAGCAGUGGGGAAUAUUGGGCAAUGGAGGCAACUCUGACCCAGCAAUGCCGCGUGAGUGAUGAAGGUAAUUUUAUUGUAAAGCUCUUUUCUUUGGAACGAAUAAAUGACGGUACCAAAGGAAUAAGCCCCGGCUAACUACGUGCCAGCAGCCGCGGUAAUACGUAGGGGGCAAGCGUUGUUCGGAAUGACUGGGCGUAAAGGGUGUGUAGACGGCUGCGCAAGUCAGAAGUGAAAGCCCGGGGCUCAACCGCGGGACUGCUUUUGAAACUGUGUAGCUAGAGUGCAGGAGAGGUAAGUGGAAUUCCUAGUGUAGCGGUGAAAUGCGUAGAUAUUAGGAGGAACACCGGUGGCGAAGGCGGCUUACUGGACUGUAACUGACGUUGAGGCUCGAAAGCGUGGGGAGCAAACAGGAUUAGAUACCCUAGUAGUC
rnacentral:rRNA from 1 species